GCUAAUAACGGAUAGAUGAUGAUUUCUGGAAUGAUUUAUCGUCGAAAGUUUGCGCGAGGAUGGGGCUGCGGCUGAUUAGGUUGUUGGCGGGGUAAUGGCCCACCAAGCCAUUUAUCAGUAAGGGCUCUUAGCGGAGAAGCCCUGAGAGGGAGUCUGAGACACUACUCCCAGCCCUACGGGGUGCAGCAGCCGGGAAAAUUCUGCAAUGCGCGAAAGCGUGACAGAGCAAGCCAGAGUGCUUUUCCAUAUUGGAAAAGCUUUUGCGGAAUGUAAAAAGUUCUGCGAAUAAGGACCGGGAGAGACUGGUGCCAGUCGCCGCGGUAAUCCCAGCGGUCCAAGUCGCAACCACAUUUAUUGGGUCUAAAACAUCCGUAGCUUGUUUUGUAAGUCUCUUGUGAAAUCUGACCUCUUAAUGGUCAAAGUGCGAGAGAUACUGCAAAGCUCGAGACCGGGAAAGGCAAGAAGAACAGUUAGAGUAGCGGUUAAAUGCGUUGAUCCUAACUGGACUAACGACAGCGGAGGCAUCUUGCUAGAACGGAUCUGACAGUGAGGGAUGAAGGCUAGGGGCGCAAAGUGGAUUAGAUACCCAUGUAGUCCUAGCAGUAAACACUGCGUACUA
rnacentral:rRNA from 1 species